AAACAUUAUUGUUUUGAAUUUUCUGUUCCUCCACUGUUUCUCACAAGUGCAACGAAUUUCACCGGUUGUUCCGCCGGGGUGAAUGGAAGUACCUGUCUCCUGGUGAGUGACGAUGGCCAAACCGCGACCCUGCAUAGUGCCCUGCUGUCAGGGGGAAAAAUUCGAACUAGUGCACAAGUUUCCCUCGGAUCGAGAACGCGCCGAACUGUGGAAGACGAUUUUGGCCGUGCCGGAACUGGCCCCGCUCGAUGUGGACACCAUUCGUGGGAGGUAUUUUGUUUGCAGCCGGCACUUUCGGGACGCUGAUUAUAAGAAUAAAGUGUCUAGGAGUUUGAAUGUGACGGCGAAUCCGUCGCUGAAUCUGAGGGGAUUGUAUGAUUCGGAAGGAUUGCACCGGGUGAUUCCCCCGAUGGGUGGAACGCGUCCCCAGCAGGUGGAAACGAAUCAAAACACAGUGAUGACGCUCAGUUUGGAAGUGCAAUCGAUGGCGCCCGAAUGUGGGACUGUGAUGGGCACAUCGAAUGAGAAGAACGUUUUUAACUGUACGGGUGAUCCGUUGGAAGAAUCAGUUUCGGUGGUGGGGGUGGAAAGUUUGGUGGAAGAGCACAAUCCCAUCGAAGUGGUUGAAGUGCCUCAGCCGAUGAGGUUCCCCGUGGCGCAGAAACGAGUAAUCGGACCGACUGCGAUGGCGGGAAGCACGCCGGCAAAGAUGUUCCGAUUUCGGAAGAAGCUGAACAUUGUCAAGGUAGACGGAGCCAUGUCGGAUCCGGAAGGAGUCCAGAAUGCGCCAACAUCAGAUGCACUGAUUUUGAAGAAGGUCAAGGUGAUGUCACCACAGAAAAAGAUCCUUAAAAUUUGUUCGAUUGGCGAAAGGAAAAAGGAAACCGUAUCUGUGGAAACGCAAACGGAUGUAGAAGAAUCACAACCGGCCCCGGCGGAGCACAUAGAUCCGAAGGAGAGUGAAGCAACUGAGACUGAGCACAAAGCAGAUGAGGAAUCGCAAGAUAACGUAAAUCCGCUCACCCGAGUGUUGGCUCUGCUGGAAUGUACGCCGGAAAACUUGCUGAAGUUGAAGAAGAAGAUGAGCGACGGAGCAGUCAUAUUCGAUGAAAACUUGUUUCGCGAGACGGAGGAGGAAGAUGCGGACGGCGCCAUGCAAAAACCGGUUGUCGACGAACGGUUAUUCCUGACGUUGAAGAGAUCGGAAUCCGAUGAACCCAUCCGGGUGAGCUACAUUUGGCUGCGGGACCAUUGCCGUUGUAACGAGUGCUACAAUCAUGAAACCUUCCAACGGUCGCUGUCGAUCCUGGACGUGCCGGAAGAUGUCAGCCCGGCGAGCUUCGAGAUCCGGGACGGGGCACUGAACGUGUUAUGGAAAGAUGAGCACGCAUCUUCGUACGACCUGGACUUUAUCUUCAGCGCCCAGUUCGGCCUGUACAAGGAAUCUCUACUGCAGGAACACACGCAGCCGACUUUCUGGGACCGCGAUAUGAUCAGCAUCAAGCCCGACUACUGCCGGGUCACCCUGAAUGAACUUCUGUGCAAUGACGACAUCGUCAAGAGGCUCGUUCACAGCCUGUACAUGUACGGUGUGGCCUUCAUCGAGAAGGUCCCGGCCAAUGCGCAGAGCACGGAGAUGGUCGUUCGGAGAAUCUUCCCCAUCCAUAAGACGCUUUUCGGCGAGAUGUGGACUUUCAGCGAUUCGAUGGACCAUAGCGACACCGCUUACACAAAGAACUAUUUGGGACCGCACACGGACAAUACGUACUUUAGUGAUGCGUCCGGCUUGCAGGUUCUGCACUGCAUCCAAUUCAAAGGAACCGGUGGUCAGACCAUCCUGAUCGAUGGCUUCAAAGCAGUUGAGCAGUUGCGUCUCAAGAAACCGGAGGUGUUCGAACGGCUAUGCAACUAUCCGGUCACCGGUGAAUACCUGGAAGAAGGUAAACAUCACUCCUACUGUGCGCCGAUCAUCCAGCGGAACAUCAUCACCGGAGAGGUGGAGCAGUUGAGGUUCAACGUGUACGAUCGAGCCAUUCUGAAGACAAUCCCUCAGGAACAGGUUCCGCAGUUUUAUGCGGAUUUUAAAGACUUAGGAGCGGAAAUCAACGAUGAAUCGAUGGCGUGGAAGUUCCAGCUGACACCCGGAACGGUGAUGAUCUUCGACAAUUGGCGGGUGCUGCACGGGCGGAUGGCUUACAGCGGGAAGCGCGUUAUGAGUGGAUGCUACGUGGCAAGGACGGAUUACCAAAGUGUGGCCCGAACGUUGGGAAUCAUUUCGUAGGUGCGUCAUGGCAGCAUGUUCAGACAAACAAUAAAUGAAGAUUUUAAACAAAAGGUAA